AUUGAACGCUGGCGGCAUGCUUUACACAUGCAAGUCGAACGGUAACAGGUUAAGCUGACGAGUGGCGAACGGGUGAGUAAUGCAUCGGAACGUGCCCGGUCGUGGGGGAUAACGCAGCGAAAGCUGCGCUAAUACCGCAUACGAUCUGAGGAUGAAAGCGGGGGACCGUAAGGCCUCGCGCGAUCGGAGCGGCCGAUGUCAGAUUAGGUAGUUGGUGGGGUAAAGGCUCACCAAGCCAACGAUCUGUAGCUGGUCUGAGAGGACGACCAGCCCAACUGGGACUGAGACACGGCCCGGAAUCCUACGGGAGGCAGCAGUGGGGAAUUUUGGACAAUGGGCGCAAGCCUGAUCCAGCAAUGCCGCGUGCAGGAAGAAGGCCUUCGGGUUGUAAACUGCUUUUGUACGGAACGAAACGGCGAGCUCUAAUACAGUUUGCUAAUGACGGUACCGUCAGAAUAAGCACCGGCUAACUACGUGCCAGCCGCCGCCGUAA
rnacentral:rRNA from 1 species